CUUGCACAAAGCUUCAAUAUUCUCCUCGUCAGGAUUAUGAUAGUCACCUAACAACUUCUUGAUGCACUCGUGCAUAAUUCUCUCUGUCAACAUUCUCUUCUUAUAAAGUUCUCCAAUCAGUCUGAUAUUCCCCAACAUUCGUCGCCGUGCUUUGACUCUUUUUUCCUCCCUCUCCUCUGCUGACAGUUUUACGAGUUCUCCGAUCAGUCUGAUAUUCCCCAACAUUCGUCGCCGUGCUUUGACUCUUUUUUCCUCCCUCUCCUCCUCUGACAGUUUUACUUCGCCUUCCUCAU
rnacentral:lncRNA from 1 species